rnacentral:tRNA from 1 species
AAAGUUUUAGUAUAUGUAAGUAUGGUUUAUUGUCAAUAAACAGGUUUAUAACUUUA